rnacentral:rRNA from 1 species
AAUAUUUCACAAUGGGGGAAACCCUGAUGCAGCGACGCCGCGUGAGUGAAGAAGUAUNNNGUUAUNUCAAGCGCUACCAGCAGNGACNAAUACGACGGUACCUGACCAACAAGCCCCGGCUAACUACGUUCCAGCAGCCGCGGUAAUACGUAGGGGGCAAGCGUUAUCCGGAUUUACUGGGUGUAAAGGGAGCGUAGGUGGUUUGGUAAGUCAGAUGUGAAGGCCCGGGGCUCAACCCCGGGACUGCAUUUGAAACUAUCAAACUAGAGUGCAGGAGAGGUAAGUGGAAUUCCUGGUGUAGCGGUGAAAUGCGUAGAUAUUAGGAGGAACACCAGUGGCGAAGGCGGCUUACUGGACUGUAACUGACACUGAGGCUCGAAAGCGUGGGGAGCAAACA